rnacentral:rRNA from 1 species
AGGACGAACGCUGGCGGCGUGCUUAACACAUGCAAGUCGAGCGGAAAGGCCCUUCGGGGUACUCGAGCGGCGAACGGGUGAGUAACACGUGAGUAAUCUGCCCCUAGCUCUGGGAUAGCUCCGGGAAACCGGGAUUAAUACCGGAUACGACCACUUUAGACAUCUGUUGUGGUGGAAAGAAUUUUGGCUAGGGAUGAGCUCGCGGCCUAUCAGCUUGUUGGUGGGGUAACGGCCUACCAAGGCGACGACGGGUAGCCGGCCUGAGAGGGCGACCGGCCACACUGGGACUGAGACACGGCCCAGACUCCUACGGGAGGCAGCAGUGGGGAAUAUUGCGCAAUGGGCGAAAGCCUGACGCAGCGACGCCGCGUGGGGGAUGAAGGCCUUCGGGUUGUAACCCCUUUCAGCAGGGACGAAGCGAAAGUGACGGUACCUGCAGAAGAAGCGCCGGCUAACUACGUGCCAGCAGCCGC